rnacentral:rRNA from 1 species
AGAGUUUGAUCAUGGCUCAGAAUCAACGCUGGCGGCGUGCCUAACACAUGCAAGUCGAACGAGAAAGUGGAGCAAUCCACGAGUAAAGUGGCGACCGGGUGAGUAACACGUGACUAACCUACCCUCGAGUGGGGAAUAACCUCGGGAAACCGGGGCUAAUACCGCAUAAUGUCUUCGGAUCAAAGGAGCAAUCCGCUGGAGGAGGGGGUCGCGGCCGAUUAGCUAGUUGGCGGGGUAACGGCCCACCAAGGCCAUGAUCGGUAGCCGGCCUGAGAGGGCGCACGGCCACACUGGAACUGAAACACGGUCCAGACUCCUACGGGAGGCAGCAGUGGGGAAUUUUGCGCAAUGGGGGAAACCCUGACGCAGCAACGCCGCGUGGAGGAUGAAGCCCCUUGGGGUGUAAACUCCUUUCGAUCGGGACGAUUAUGACGGUACCGGAUGAAGAAGCACCGGCUAACUCUGUGCCAGCAGCCGCGGUAAUACAGAGGGUGCAAGCGUUGUUCGGAAUUGUUGGGCGUAAAGCGCUCGUAGGUGGGUUGACAAGUCUGCAAGCAAAGACCCGGGCUCAACUCGGGAAUCCGUGUGGAAACUGUCGAUCUUGAGGUAGUCAGAGGAUGAUGGAAC